GCUUGCCCUCAGUUGAUUAGUGACUGGUGCUCAGAAUGCCAAGGUUGCAGGUUCAAUUCCUGUAUGGGACA